rnacentral:rRNA from 1 species
UAGGGAAUCUUCCACAAUGGACGCAAGUCUGAUGGAGCAACGCCGCGUGAGUGAAGAAGGGUUUCGGCUCGUAAAGCUCUGUUGUUAAAGAAGAACGUGGGUAAGAGUAACUGUUUACCCAGUGACGGUAUUUAACCAGAAAGUCACGGCUAACUACGUGUCAG